GCGUCUCUACAUUGUUCGCAAAGAAAAAAUGAUUAAUUGAUAUUGGCACUAAAUAUCAAAAUGAAUGCAGCCAAGCAGAUUGAGAAGAAAUAAAAUCAGUAAUUCUGCACACAUUACAAUGGAAAAAGCCUCCCACAUCCGGGCACAUAAAGAAUUCAGCGAAAUUACUCAGAGAAGAAUAUCCUUUAUGAAAAUAAUUGAAUGCACAUCAAAGAAACAGUUUGCAAUGAUGACAUCAAGAUUAAUUCUGGAAGCAGAAGUCAAGAGAUUUGCUUAAUUGACAAGUAGUGAAUUAUUUUCUCUCACAAGUUGUUACAUAGCUAUCAUCAACAUUGCUUCUGCACUAUUAUUAUUAUUAUUAUCUCAUUACAGCCACUAUCCAAACGACUGUCAGCUUCUCUUGACACUGCUGAAACUAAGAUAUUACCGCAGUCCACAAACAUAAACCCAAACAUCUUAGUUGCCAUAGACAGACAUAGAUACUACCCCCACAUGCUCUUGCUUUUCUACUAUGCUGUAUCAUGGUGAUAUCUCAGAUGCUCUGCUCCAUCACUCAAGCCUAUACUA
rnacentral:misc_RNA from 1 species